rnacentral:lncRNA from 1 species
CUGAGCUGCUGGUGGCGUGUCAGCCAGUUCUCAGGACCCGGCUAGGGCCUCAGUGGCCUCCGGGAGCACUUGUAACCAGCCUCAUGGGCAGUGGCCAGUGAGGGUGGGGCCGACUCUGGCUGCAGGGCCAGAGAGAGGAGCUCAGUCUGGGGAAAGCGCAGUGCCCGGGCCCCUGGGCCUGCCGUUGGCCUCAGGGACCGUGUCUCAGUCUGCUUGGGCAGCUGUGACAAAAUCCCACAGACCCAGCGACUGAAACAACUGUUGAUGCAAGUAAUUCAUAAUCGGUCUAUAAAUCAAAAUUGGGGUGAGUUUAUUACGAGCCAGGUCUGGGGACUAGCCCGGGGCCUUCCUUCCCUAAGGCAGGAAGGGCACCAAAGAAGUGGGGUGUGCAGAGUGGUUCUGUACCCUCAGAGAGCGUACAUCACGUAUGACAGGAAUGUCUGUGUUACAACGGUCAUGGGAUGCUUUGCUGGUACAGCAGGUCAGCGGUCAGCAGGUCAGUGGCCACAAGGUGGGCACAGCAGGUUGGUAAUUAAUCCUUAGUUUUUAGGGAGAGAUGCGCAUCCUAAGGGAAUUCUGAUGGGGGGGAGGUCCAUCCGUGUCUUUCAGGGCCUCGUUCUUGCCUUUGAGGCAUUCUCAGUGUUUGCGGAUGUACAAUGCAUGCUCCACAGGCCACAUCACGUCAGGCCCUUUUGGAAAAACAAGGUCAGCCCGAAUUAGUUUUGCUCCUCUUCUUAGAAGGACACCAGUCUGUGGCAUCAGGGCCCACCCGGACGGCCUCAGUGAACCGUUAUCACCCCCAUAGGCCCCAUCUCCAGGUGCAGUCAUGUUGGAGGUUAGGCCCUCCACAGGUGAACGUAGGGGGACAUGACUCAGCCCAGGACGGACGGGCUGGCCUGGGGGGGGGUGCGCGCCUGAGGAGAGGGGAGGGCCCAAGCUGGCCGGAAGCGGAGUGUCCACUGGCACUGGGACGUGUGCCCCGCUAGAGACCCUGAGAGCAAAUACGCCGGCCGCAGGAGGAUGACUUCUCUGCUCCAAGUGAACCCUGAAAACGCCUUCUGAUUUGGGGUGAAGCUGAAGAGAUCGGCGAGGACAGGCUGGACGCGGAAAUGCUGGCGGGCCGGCUUUGAUUGCUGGGCUUCAGGCUUUUAUGGUAAGGUUCUAAACUUUUAUGGUAAGGUUUUAACAUUUACGACAGGGUUCUAAACAUUUUUGAUGAGCUGGGGAAGGAGUUUUAACACCGGAUCUUCUGAACGAGGGACCCCCUGCUUCGGAUGAGAGUCCGACUUUCAAGUUCCGGUCGUGUCGGGUUCCGUGGGCAGGAGGAUCUGUGGUUCCAUGGUCACUUCAGGUCAAGAUUU